rnacentral:rRNA from 1 species
AGCAGCCGCGGUAAUUCCAGCUCCAAUAGCGUAUAUUAAAGUUGUUGCAGUUAAAAAGCUCGUAGUUGAAUUUCGGGAUUGACGUGAUGGUCAUGCCUUAAGGGGUAUGAACUGUUACAGCUGAUUUCUCACCUUCUGGAGAAACUUGAUGUCCUUUAUUGGGUGUCUUGCGGAUCCAGGACCUUUACCUUGAAAAAAUUAGAGUGUUUAAAGCAGGCAUUUUUGCUCGAAUACAUUAGCAUGGAAUAAUAGAAUAGGACGGCAUGGUUCUAUUUUGUUGGUUUCUAGGAUCACCGUAAUGAUUAAUAGGGAUAGUUGGGGGCAUUAGUAUUCAAUUGUCAGAGGUGAAAUUCUUGGAUUUAUUGAAGACUAACUACUGCGAAAGCAUUUGCCAAGGAUGUUUUCAUUAAUCAAGAACGAAAGUUAGGGGAUCGAAGACGAUCAGAUACCGUCGUAGUCUUAACCAUAAACUAUGCCGACUAGGAAUCAGACGAUGUUAAUUUUUUAAUGACUUCG